UUCAUCCUGUUCGACCAAAUCCUCUCCAUACCUCACCCUUCUUCUACAACAUCAAAAACAAUGGCUUCAAGGUGACCAGUCCUCUUCGUCUCCUUCGUUAUCCGGUGACAUCUACAACAUUAAAUAUGUGGUGAACUGCGGCGGGCGUGGAUCUGAACAGGGCGGGUGGUUGAGGCGGUGGUCUAUGGUGGUGUUAGUGUUGAUGCCGGUAGAGGGAGUGGUGGUUGCACGGGCGUGGAUGGUGCUUAACGUCGGUUCAAAUUCACUGACGGUUCAAUUCUAGUUCUUCGAUCUUCAAGAUUACUUGAACUUGUCGAUCUGGUUCUAUUCUAGUGAGUGGCAAAUGGGAUUUGGUAGUGGUAUCAUCCAUUGUUUUAUCUUCCUAACCAAAAUAAGAUGAACAAUUGAUUCUGAAUGUUGUGUGUUGCAAAUGGGGUUUAAUGCUUAACAAAGAGAGAUAAAAAGAUACUUUAAUAUGAUAUUGCACCGACUUAUUAUGAGAAGAGAUGGAAUUGUAGUGUAA
rnacentral:lncRNA from 1 species